CACGGGGGGAGCAAGCGUUGUUCGGAAUCAUUGGGCGUAAAGAGCUCGUAGGCGGCUCCGUAAGUCAGGGGUGAAAUCUGAUGGCUCAACCAUCAACCCGCCUUUGAAACUACGGAACUUGAGUGCAGGAGAGGAAAGUGGAAUUCCAGGUGUAGCGGUGAAAUGCGUAGAUAUCUGGAGGAACACCGGUGGCGAAGGCGACUUUCUGGCCUGACACUGACGCUGAGGAGCGAAAGCCAGGGGAGCGAACGGGAUUAGAUACCCCAGUA
rnacentral:rRNA from 1 species